GACGAACGCUGGCGGCGUGCCUAAGACAUGCAAGUCGAGCGAGGAGGCUUCGGUCUCCGAGCGGCGGACGGGUGAGUAACGCGUGGGCAACCUGCCCUUCAGCCCGGGAUAACUGCCGGAAACGGCGGCUAAUACCGGAUGCGGUGAGCCGGUCGCAUGGCCGGGUCACGAAAACUACGGCGCUGAAGGAUGGGCCCGCGUCCCAUUAGCUAGUUGGCGAGGUAACGGCUCACCAAGGCGACGAUGGGUAGCCGGCCUGAGAGGGUGGACGGCCACACUGGGACUGAGACACGGCCCAGACUCCUACGGGAGGCAGCAGUCGGGAAUCUUCCACAAUGGGCGCAAGCCUGAUGGAGCGACGCCGCGUGAGGGAAGAAGGUCUUCGGAUCGUAAACCUCUGUCCUCAGGGACGAAAAUGACGGUACCUGAGGAGGAAGCCACGGCUAACUACGUG
rnacentral:rRNA from 1 species